rnacentral:lncRNA from 1 species
UGCAAGUGGGGCGGUGGCACAGUGGCGGUGCUUGCAGGAGAUGUGACUGGGGGCGGUGGGAUUAGGUUAUUUAGGGUUUCAAAUUUUGAAACCCUAAAUUUUUGGGCUAGUUGGGUCAGAUUGGGGUUAGGGUCUGGGCCAUAUUGUUUUGGGCCUUAGUUUUUUAUUUGUUUUAGGUUUAAGUUGGGCUAUGUGGGUUUGAAAAUG